ensembl:lncRNA
AGUGGUGUGCGUGCUAAGUUGCUUCAGUCAUGUCCGACUAUUGGCGACCCCAUGGACUGUAGCCCGUCAGGCUCCUCUGCCCAUGGGAUUCUCCAGGCAAGAAUACUGGAGUGGGUUGCCAUUUCCUCCUCGAGGGGAUCUUCCCAAACCAGGGAUCGAACCUGCAUCUCUUCUGUCUCUUGGCAGGUGGGUUCUUUACCAUUAGCACCACCUGGGAAGCCCUUUAAAGUGGCAAAGGCCUAUAAUCAGCCCAUUCUGACUUAAUUAUAUGAUACCAUUAUUACGUUUUCAUAUUUUUCUAAAAGUAGAAGAUAACUCAGCAUAAAAUUCCAUAAAAAAUCAGCAUAUGGUUCACUGUUAAAUGCAUAUUUCAUUUGGCAAAGUACUGCCAGACAGCCCUUCAGCAUGGCUGCCGAAAUCUACACUCCCAGGAGCCAUGCAGGUGGGUUUGUAGGUCCUUACAGCUUCAUCAGCACUGGGCAUUAUCCUGUUUUCUAAUUUUGUCAGUCUCAUAAAUGUAAAGUCAGAUCUCACUGUUAUGUUAACUUCUCAGAUUUCCAAUAUCUUGAAUACCUUGUCAUAUACGCUCUUGGCUUUUCAAAUUUCUUCUUCGGUAAACUGUCUAUUCUGUGCUUUGCUCAACUAGUGGUGGUGUUUUUUUUUUUGUUGAUUCACAGAAAGUCCUUGGAUGUUCUAGAUAUUAAAUCCUUUGUUGAUUUAAACAUUGCAAAUAUCUUCUCCCAAUCUGUAGAUUAUCUUUUACCUUUUUCCCGUGUCUUUCAUCAAGCACAAAUCCUUUAAUUUGAUGUAAUCAAAUCAAUCAACUCUUUACCAUAUGAAUUAUAGUCUUGCACUUUUAUCUAAUAAGUCAUUCCAAGCCCCUAGGUCACAAAGAUAUCCUCCUAUAAUUCUUCUUAUUAACAUUAGAGUUUUAUCUUUCACAUUUAGGUCCUCUAUCUAGAGUCCAUUUUUUGUAUGUGGCAUGAGGUAGGGGUCUGUUUUUAUUUUUCUCCAAGUCAUGAGCCAGGUUUUUAAACACCUUCAAAAAAGAAACUGUCCUUUCUCCAUUGAUCUGUUAUACGCUAGGUUCCUUUAUAUCCACAGGUCUGCAUUUAUACUGUUCUAUUGGUCUACUUUUCCAUUUUUGUGCUAAUGCCACAGUUUAUAUUACUGAAUUCAAAGAAACAAGAAAGAAACAAUGGUAAGGCAGAAAUAAAUGCCAUAGAGAACAACAGACA